UAUUGGUCAAUGGAGGCAACUCUGAACCAGCCAUGCCGCGUGAAGGAUUAAGGCCCUCUGGGUUGUAAACUUCUUUUAUAGGGGAAGAAAUGUGUCGGUUCUCCGACACUUGACGGUACCCUAGGAAUAAGCACCGGCUAACUCCGUGCCAGCAGCCGCGGUAAUACGGAGGGUGCAAGCGUUAUCCGGAUUCACUGGGUUUAAAGGGUGCGUAGGUGGGCAGAUAAGUCAGUGGUGAAAUCUUCCGGCUUAACCGGAAAAUUGCCGUUGAUACUAUUUGUCUUGAAUAUUGUGGAGGUAAGCGGAAUAUGUCAUGUAGCGGUGAAAUGCUUAGAUAUGACAUAGAACACCAAUUGCGAAGGCAGCUUACUAUAUAAUUAUUGACACUGAGGCACGAAAGCGUGGGUAGCGAACAGG
rnacentral:rRNA from 1 species